rnacentral:rRNA from 1 species
AUACGGAGGAUGCGAGCGUUAUCCGGAUUUAUUGGGUUUAAAGGGUGCGCAGGCGGCGUGUCAAGUCAGCGGUCAAAAUGCGGCGCUCAACGCCGUACCGCCGUUGAAACUGGCAUGCUCGAGUUCGUGCGAGGAUGGCGGAAUGCGCGGUGUAGCGGUGAAAUGCAUAGAUAUCGCGCAGAACCCCGAUUGCGAAGGCAGCUGUCCAGCACACGACUGACGCUCAUGCACGAAAGCGUGGGUAUCGAACAGGAUUAGAUACCCUGGUAGUCCACGCGGUAAACGAUGAUAACUAGUUAUUCGGCGCGACUGAGCGCUGAGUGACCGAGCGAAAGCGUUAAGUUAUCCACCUGGGGAGUACGCCGGCAACGGUGAAACUCAAAUGAAUUGGCGGGG